rnacentral:rRNA from 1 species
UGGGGAAUAUUGCACAAUGGGCGCAAGCCUGAUGCAGCAACGCCGCGUGAGGGACGACGGCCUUCGGGUUGUAAACCUCUUUUAGUAGGGAAGAAGCGAAAGUGACGGUACCUGCAGAAAAAGCACCGGCUAACUACGUGCCAGCAGCCGCGGUAAUACGUAGGGUGCGAGCGUUGUCCGGAAUUAUUGGGCGUAAAGAGCUCGUAGGCGGUCUGUCGCGUCUGCUGUGAAAACCCGAGGCUCAACCUCGGGCCUGCAGUGGGUACGGGCAGACUAGAGUGCGGUAGGGGAGAAUGGAAUUCCUGGUGUAGCGGUGGAAUGCGCAGAUAUCAGGAGGAACACCGAUGGCGAAGGCAGUUCUCUGGGCCGUAACUGACGCUGAGGAGCGAAAGCGUGGGGAGCGAACAGGAUUAGAUACCCUGGGUAGUCCACGCCGUAAACGUUGGGCGCUAGAUGUGGGGACCAUUCCACGGUUUCCGUGUCGCAGCUAACGCAUUAAGCG